GCGGUAAUUCCAGCUCCAAUAGCGUAUAUUAAAGUUGUUGCGGUUAAAAAGCUCGUAGUUGGAUCUCGGCGGGCAGGGGGUGGUUCGCUCUUCAGCGCUACUGCCCCGCUUUGCCCGUGUGAUUGGCGGAGGUUUCGGGGUGCUCUUCGUUGAGUGACUCGGAGCGCCGUCAGGUUUACUUUGAAAAAAUUAGAGUGCUCAAAGCAGGCUUUUCACGCUUGAAUAUUCGUGCAUGGAAUAAUGGAAUAGGAACUCGUUUCUAUUUUGUUGGUUUUCGGAAAUCGAGUUAAUGAUUAACAGGGACAAUUGGGGGCAUUAGUAUUCAGACGACAGAGGUGAAAUUCUUGGACCGUCUGAAGACUGACUACUGCGAAAGCAUUUGCCAAGAGUGUUUUCAUUAAUCAAGAACGAAAGUUAGAGGUUCGAAGGCGAUCAGAUACCGCCCUAGUUCUAACCAUAAACGAUGCCAGCUAGCGAUCUGCCGAGUUUUUUUUGUAGGCUCCGCAGGAAGCUUUCGGGAAACCAAAGCUUUUGGGUUCCGGGGGAAGUAUGGUUGCAAAGCUGAAACUUAAAGGAAUUGACGGAAGGGCACCACCAGGAGUGGAGCCUGCGGCUUAAUUUGACUCAACACGGGAAAUCUCACCAGGCCCGGACACUGGAAGGAUUGACAGAUUGAGAGCUCUUUCUCGAUUCGGUGGGUGGUGGUGCAUGGCCGUUCUUAGUUGGUGGAGUGAUUUGUCUGGUUAAUUCCGAUAACGAACGAGACUCUGUCCUGCUAAAUAGUUGGGUCGUCCUUCGUGCGAUCCAAGUUCUUCUUAGAGGGACUGGCUGCGUCUAGCAGCACGAGAUUGAGCAAUAACAGGUCUGUG
rnacentral:rRNA from 1 species